rnacentral:rRNA from 1 species
AUUGAACGCUGGCGGCAUGCCUUACACAUGCAAGUCGAACGGUAACAGGUCUUCGGAUGCUGACGAGUGGCGAACGGGUGAGUAAUACAUCGGAACGUGCCCGAUCGUGGGGGAUAACGAGGCGAAAGCUUUGCUAAUACCGCAUAAGAUCUAUGGAUGAAAGCAGGGGACCGCAAGGCCUUGCGCGAACGGAGCGGCCGAUGGCAGAUUAGGUAGUUGGUGGGGUAAAGGCUUACCAAGCCUACGAUCUGUAGCUGGUCUGAGAGGACGACCAGCCACACGGGGACGGAGACACGGCCCAGACUCCUACGGGAGGCAGCAGUGGGGAAUUUUGGACAGUGGGCGCAAGCCUGAGCCAGCCAUGCCGCGUGCAGGAUGAAGGCCUUCGGGUUGUAAACUGCUUUUGUACGGAACGAAAAGCCUUGGGAUAAUACCCUGAGGUCAUGACGGUACCGUAAGAAUAAGCACCGGCUAACUACGUGCCAGCAGCCGCCGUAACAC